rnacentral:tRNA from 1 species
GGCCACGAUGGCCGAGGAAUUGCUGCCCUCCCGCCUCCCCCGGGUUCCCGGCGUGCGGCUCGCCGCGCGGCACC